ensembl:ncRNA mir-2280 mir-2280 stem loop
UCGUUUAAGAUGCUGUGAAUAUCCCGUUUUCUUAGCUUGGCAAUAAAAUAUUAUUCACAGAAACUAGUAAUUUACUUCCAAGCUAACUGAAGGGGAUAUUCAGUGCAACCACGGA